rnacentral:rRNA from 1 species
GUUCAACCGCAAAAGAAGCAGAGGGGGCUUAGUGGUGGGGUGACUGCGUACCUUUUGUAUAAUGGGUCAGCGACUUAUAUUCUGUAGCAAGGUUAACCGUAUAGGGGAGCCGCAGGGAAACCGAGUCUUAAUUGGGCGUUAAGUUGCAGGGUAUAGACCCGAAACCCGGUGAUCUAGCCAUGGGCAGGUUGAAGGUUGGGUAACACUAACUGGAGGACCGAACCGACUAAUGUUGAAAAAUUAGCGGAUGACCUGUGGCUGGGGGUGAAAGGCCAAUCAAACCGGGAGAUAGCUGGUUCUCCCCGAAAGCUAUUUAGGUAGCGCCUCGUGAAUUCAUCUCCGGGGGUAGAGCACUGUUUCGGCUAGGGGGCCAUCCCGGCUUACCAACCCGAUGCAAACUGCGAAUACCGGAGAAUGUUAUCACGGGAGACACACGGCGGGUGCUAACGUCCGUCGUGAAGAGGGAAACAACCCAGACCGCCAGCUAAGGUCCCAAAGUCAUGGUUAAGUGGGAAACGAUGUGGGAAGGCCCAGACAGCCAGGAUGUUGGCUUAGAAGCAGCCAUCAUUUAAAGAAAGCGUAAUAGCUCACUGGUCGAGUCGGCCUGCGCGGAAGAUGUAACGGGGCUAAACCAUGCACCGAAGCUGCGGCAGCGACGCUGAUGCGU